rnacentral:lncRNA from 10 species
GUCUGAAUAAAGAAAAUGUGGCAUAUAUAAACAAUGGGGAUAUUAUACAGCCUUAAAAGAGGUUCUGACACAUGCUAUAACAUGAGUACACCAUGCUACAUGGAAUAAGCCAGACACAAAAAGACAAGUACUGUAUUGACAUGGUUUGGCUGUGUCCCCACCCAAAUCUCAUCUUGAAUUGUAGCUCCCAUAAUCCCCACAUGUUCUUUGAUGGCUGCCCACUGCCAACCAAAGGAAGUGGCCACUCUCAUGCUGGGUCCCACAACCUUACUGACUUGAUCUUAAUCCUUUUUUCCAAUUUAUCUCCUUUUCUUCACAAGUUGCUGAAGAUGUAGGUUUUCAAGAAUAAUCUCUUGUUAGAUCAACUUUUGUUAUCUGACAGCCCAUCUGGUCUUUGGCCUGGCUGAAAUAUUUAAAUCUUUAAUAUGCUUUUAAAGAAUUAUUGCCUAAUAUUUCCUUUAAUUUGUAAACCUCAGCAUUCUUCAAGUACUGUAUGAGUCUUACAAAAACAGAAACACUA